UGUACCUCCGAUGCACCGCCUCCGACUCCCUUCUCUCGGCACUACAAAGUAAAAUAUUCUUGGGUGAAAGUACAUUUUUUUUAUUCUAACUAAAUGUUUUUGUGUUUUCCUUUCAUGUUUCAGGAACCGGCUUACGGUCUUUUGGUGAUUUACAGACUGACGAUGUAUUUCUGCUUCUGCCGUCUGUGGUCCCGGUUAUUAGUGUGAUUGUUAUAGCCAUCCUUAUUCACGCCAUCAAGAAAAACAAGUGUGAUUAUUGCCAUGACAAGGCUGCCGUGUCCCUGCAAGAAAAUGUUGCAAAAAUAAAUGUAAAGAGAAAUGAAGACCCAUGGAUGUAUUCUACUGUCGUCUUUACCGUCAUGGAAACCAGCAUUGGUGUAACGAGGGAGGGAAGAGCAGCAAAGAGAGAGAGGAUCUACGCUGCUGCCAAAGCUUUAUGAACGUAUUAGCUUGUCAGAAGUGGACUCCGCUAGGGCUGACACAUAUUAUUUUUGCUCACAGAUCGGACAGCAAGCGGAUAAUGAGAUUUAUCCUGAAUUUGACAAUUGUAUUGCAUUAAAUAAGCAGACUGCAGCUUGCCUGUUUGAGUUUUAAAGCUAAAAGCUGUUAUACCAUGUGUGAUUUAGCUUGCAUUGAGACUAUGAUGUUUAUCUGGAAUAUGAUGUUGUUCAUAUGCUUACAUGUAAAAAUACUUGAUUAAAAAUAA